rnacentral:ncRNA from 1 species
CACAGUUUUGGUCCUAGACACUUACUAUUACUUGUUAGCUCUCAUUACACAUGCUAGCAUCUACGGCCCGGUGCAUUUACCCAACACCUGUAUACCACAGGUCAGGAGAAGGUAUCAGGCACACCCACAUACAGGUAGCCCAAAACACCUUGCCCUUGCCACACCCCCACGGUAACCCAGCAGUGAUAGACAUUAAGCAAUAAGCGAAAGCUUGACUUAGCCACAGCAACCCAACAGGGUCGGCCAACUCCGUGCCAGCCGCCGCGGUUACACGGUGGACCCAAAAGAACACCCCCCCCGGCGUAAAAUGUGACUAAAGACCCAGGCCUACAUCAAGAAAUUAAAACUACAACCAAGUUGUUAAAAACCAAUGCACGUAGGACCAACCACCAAAUUUCUACUUCUAGAGCCACCUUGAACCCACGAAAGCCAAGACACAAACUGGGAUUAGAUACCCCACUAUGCCUGGCCGUAAACCAAAACAGCAAGCCAACCAGCUGUCCGCCAGAGAAUUACAAGCAAAAAGCUUAAAACUCUAAGGACUUGACGGUGUCCCACACCGACCUAGAGGAGCCUGUCCUAUAAUCGAUACCCCACGACACACCCCACCCCCACUUGCAAAAUCCGCCUAUAUACCGCCGUCGCCAGCCUACCCCAUGAGGGGGCCAACUAGUGGGCACAACAAUUAACCAUUAAUACGUCAGGUCAAGGUGUAGCCCAUGUGGGGGAAGAGAUGGGCUACAUUUUCUAACAAUAGAAAAAACCACAAGCAGCAUGAAACAGCUAAGCCAAAAGGAGGAUUUAGCAGUAAAUAGGAACCACAUUAGCCCAAUUGAAGGCCGCUCUGGGAUGCGUACACACCGCCCGUCACCCUCCUCAACAAAACUAACACCACUAAAUAAUAUAAAACCACAAAAAGAUGAGGUAAGUCGUAACAUGGUAAGCGUACUGGAAAGUGUGCUUGGAAAA